AUGGUGGCCCGGGGAAGCGGCGCGGAGGAGGCGCCGCCGCCGACGCAGCAGCGCCUCGUCUUCGCCUACUACAUCACCGGCCACGGCUUCGGCCACGCCACCCGCGCCCUCGAGGUGGUGAGGCACCUGAUCGGCGCGGGGCACGAGGUGCACGUGGUCACCGCCGCGCCGGAGUUCGUCUUCACCACCGAGAUCGACUCCCCCAGCCUCCACAUCCGCAGGGUCCUGCUCGACUGCGGCGCCGUGCAGGCCGACGCGCUCACCGUCGACCGACUCGCAUCCCUCGAGAAGUACCAUCAGACGGCCGUGGUGCCCCGCGAGGCGAUACUCAGGACUGAAGUGGAGUGGCUCCACUCAAUCAAGGCCGACUUAGUGGUUUCGGAUGUUGUCCCGGUGGCGUGCAGGGCGGCUGCAGAUGCUGGCAUUCGCUCCGUGUGUGUCACGAAUUUCAGUUGGGACUUCAUUUAUGCAGAGUACGUUGUAGCAGCUGGAAAUCAUCAUCGCUCAAUUGUGUGGCAGAUAGCAGAGGAUUACUCACAUUGUGAGUUCUUACUACGACUCCCUGGAUACUGCCCUAUGCCUGCUUUCCGUGACGUUAUUGAUGUGCCUCUUGUGGUGAGAAGAUUACACAAAUCUCGAUCCGAGGUGAGAAAGGAACUAGGGAUUGCAGAGGAUGUUAAGGUGGUCAUUUUCAACUUUGGAGGACAGCCGGCAGGAUGGAAACUGAAGAAAGAGUGGUUGCCUGAUGGUUGGCUUUGUUUGGUAUGUGGUGCAUCUGAUACUCAAGAGCUUCCUCCAAAUUAUGUCAAGCUCGCAAAGGAUGCGUACACACCUGAUUUAAUGGCAGCAUCUGACUGCAUGCUUGGGAAAAUUGGAUAUGGUACCGUGAGUGAGGCUUUGGCGUACAAGCUGCCAUUUGUAUUUGUUCGUAGAGAUUAUUUCAAUGAAGAGCCUUUUCUGCGGAAUAUGCUUGAGCAUUAUCAAUGUGGCAUUGAGAUGAUACGGAGGGAUUUACUUACUGGACAUUGGAAACCUUAUCUGCUACGCGCUUUAACACUUAAGCCCUGCUAUGAUCGUCCAAUAAAUGGUGGCGAGGUGGCUGCACAUAUCCUCCAGGAUACUGCUGUCGGGAAGAAGUAUAUUUCCGGCAAGUUGAGUGGGGCAAGACGAUUACGUGAUGCCAUAGUGCUAGGAUACCAACUACAGAGGGCUCCCGGGAGAGAUGUAGGAAUCCCUGAAUGGUAUUCUCUCUCCGAGAAAGAAAUCGGUGUUCGCCCAGCACCCGCGUCUCGUCGGAUUAAUGGAAGUGCAGAAUCAUCUUUUGAGGACUUCGAGAUUCUCCAUGGAGACAUGCAAGGAUUAACCGAUACUAUGGCUUUCCUGACAAGUUUAUCUGGGCUUGUUGGAAACGAUCCGAGGAUCCCUGAGAAGCAAUCCCGAGAAAGGACUGCUGCUUCUGUACUCUUUGACUUGGAGGAGGAUAUAUAUGUUGCAAGAGCACCUGGACGAUUGGAUGUCAUGGGUGGCAUUGCAGAUUAUUCAGGAAGUCUUGUACUACAGAUGCCCAUUCGAGAGGCCUGUCAUGUUGCUAUUCAGAGAAGCGAUCCUGUCAAGCAGAAGCUAUGGAAGCAUACUCAGGCUAGGCAGCUAGCAAAUGGAGCAGUGCCGAUUUUGCAAAUUGUAUCAUUUGGCUCUGAAUUGAGUAACCGGGCACCAACAUUCGAUAUGGACCUGUCUGAUUUUAUGGAUGGUGACAAACCAAUAUCGUAUGAAAAGGCCAAAGAAUAUUUCUCCCAGGAUCCAUCUCAAAAAUGGGCUGCCUAUGUUGCUGGAACAGUUCUUGUGUUGAUGACUGAACUAGGUGUUCAAUUCACAGACAGCAUGAGCAUUUUGGUUUCUUCUUCUGUUCCUGAAGGCAAAGGUGUCUCAUCUUCUGCAUCAGUGGAGGUUGCUACAAUGUCUGCUAUUGCCGCAGUCUAUGGUUUAAAUAUUGCUCCAAGGGAUCUUGCUAUACUCUGUCAAAAGGUUGAGAAUCACAUUGUUGGAGCUCCUUGUGGUGUAAUGGACCAAAUGACAUCUGCUUGCGGAGAAGCCAACAAACUUCUGGCUAUGGUUUGCCAGCCUGCUGAAGUGAAAGAAUUGGUCAGCAUUCCAACUCAUAUACGAUUUUGGGGUCUGGACUCUGGGAUACGACAUAGUGUUGGUGGGACUGAUUAUGGAUCUGUGAGGGUAGGCACAUAUAUGGGACGCAAGAUGAUUAAGUGUGCUGCAUCUGACCUAAUUUCUCAAUCCUUUCCGUCUGCUCCUACGCAAUCAUGCGACGCUUCUGAAGAAUAUGAAAAAUAUGGUGUGGAUCUUCUGAAAUCUGAAGCUUCACUGCAGUAUCUAUGCAACCUACCACCUCAUAGAUAUGAAGCUGCCUAUGCAAGAGAUAUUCCUGAGUUCAUUACUGGGGAUGAAUUUAAGGAGAAAUAUGGAGAUCACAACGAUGCAGUAACAGUUAUUGACCCAAAAAGAUCUUACAGUGUGAAGGCUCCUACUAGACAUCCCAUAUACGAGAACUUCCGUGUUGAGGCCUUCAAAGCAUUGUUAACAGCAGCCAAAACAGAUGAGCAACUUUCAGCCCUUGGAGAACUUAUGUAUCAGUGCCAUUACAGCUACAAUGCUUGCGGGCUUGGUUCUGAUGGGACUGAUAGGCUGGUGAAUCUAGUACAAGAAAUCCAGCACAGGAAGACCACCUCGCAACAUGAAGGCCCGAGUCUAUUUGGUGCAAAGAUCACUGGUGGAGGUUCUGGUGGUUCAGUUUGUGUUAUUGGGAAAAAUAGCCUGAAAAGUAGUGAAGAGAUUUUCGAGAUCCAGAAAAGAUACAAAGCAGCCACCGGUUACCUACCAAUUGUCUUCGAGGGUUCGUCUCCCGGCGCGGGCAAAUUCGGGUACCUGAAGAUCCGAUGGCGGUCGGCAUAA
rnacentral:rRNA from 1 species